rnacentral:rRNA from 1 species
UACGUAGGGGGCAAGCGUUGUCCGGAAUUAUUGGGCGUAAAGAGCGUGUAGGCGGCCAGAUAAGUCCGCUGUGAAAUCUCGAGGCUCAACUUCGAGCUGUCGGUGGAAACUAUCUGGCUAGAGUCCGGAAGAGGAGAAUGGAAUUCCUGGUGUAGCGGUGAAAUGCGCAGAUAUCAGGAAGAACACCCGUGGCGAAGGCGGUUCUCCUGGGACGGUACUGGACGCUGGAGACGCGAAAGCCGUGGG